CAGCAGAAGCCUUACAAGCCAGUAGAGAUUAGGGGCCUAUUUUUAGCCUCCUUACAGAAUAAAAAAAACCUACACCAAAAAGAAAGCUUUCAAAUUAAAAGCCUAACAUCACACAUCAAGGAACUAGAAAAACAAAAACAACAACAAAAAACCUCAAAGCCAGCAGCAGAAAAAAAAAAUAACAAAGUGAGAGAAGAACUAAAUGAAAUUGAGACCAAAAAAAUACAAAUACAAAGGAUUAAUGACUACAAAUAUAUAAUAACCAGAACAAAAAGACUAGUAUCAAGAAUAUAUAAGGAACUCAAACAAUUCAACAAGAAAAAACCAAAUAACCCCAUUAAAAAGUAGGCAAAGGUUGUGAACCUUCAGAAGCUUCUCAAAAGAAGACAUACAAGUGGCCAAUAAAUAUAUAAAAAAUGCACAGCAUCACUAAUUUUCAGAGAAACAGAAUUAAAGUCAUAUAAAAUAUCAUCUCACAUCAGUUAGAGUGCCUAUUAUUAAAAAGUCAAACAGAUGUUGGCAUGGAUGUGGAGAAAAGGGAAUGCAUAUUCACUGUUGAUGGGACUGUAAAUUAGUUCAAUCUCUAUUGAAAACAGCAUAGAGAUUUCUCAAAGAAGUAAAAAUAAAACUACUAUUCAACCCAGCAAACUUACUAUUAGGUAUCUAUGCAAAGAAAAAGAAAUAGUUUUAUCAAAAAGACCCCCGCACUCAUAUGUUUAUUGCAGCACUAUUCACAACAGCAAAGUCAUGAAAUCAACCUACAUGUCCAUCAACGGUACGUUGAAUAAAGGUAACAUAGUACAAAUACACCAUGGAAUACUAUGCAGCCAUAGAAAAGAAUAAAAUUAUGAUCUUUACAGAAACAUGAACGGAGCUGGAGGCCAUUAUCCUAAGUGAAAUAACUCAGAAAGAGAAAAUAAAAUAUGAUACGGUUUGACUCUGUGUCUCCACCCAAAUCUCAUCUUUAAUUGUAAUCCUCAUUAUCCCCACAUGUCAAGGGAGGGACCUGGUUGGAGGUGAUUGGAUCAUGGAGGCAGUUUUCCCAAUGCCUUUCUUGUGAUAGUCAGUGUGUUCUCAUGAGAUCUGAUGGUUUUAUAAGUGUUUGACAGUUCCUCCUUCACACUUGCUCCUCUUUCUCUGCUGCCACCCUGUAAGAGGUG
rnacentral:lncRNA from 1 species